AAAGCAGCAAUGUGCUUGAAGAGUGGCCUACGUCAGAUUAGGUAGUUGGUAGGGUAAUGGCCUACCAAGCUUAUGAUCUGUAGCUGAUCUGAGAGGAUGAUCAGCCACACUGGGACUGAGACACGGCCCAGACUCCUACGGGAGGCAGCAGUGGGGAAUAUUGGACAAUGGAGGAAACUCUGAUCCAGCGAUGCCGCGUGAAUGAUGAAGGCCUUCGGGUUGUAAAGUUCUUUUAUUAGAGAAGAGAAAAGACGGUAUCUAAUGAAUAAGUCCCGGCUAACUUCGUGCCAGCAGCCGCGGUAAUACGAAGGGGACUAGCGUUGUUCGGAAUCAUUGGGCGUAAAGGGCGUGUAGGUGGACUAGUACGUUAGGUGUGAAAUCCCCGGGCUUAACCUGGGAACUGCAUCUAAUACGGCUUGUCUAGAGUGCGAGAGGGAGGAGCGGAAUGGCUAGUGAAGCAGUGAAAAUGCGUUGAUAUUAGCUGGAACACCGGGGG
rnacentral:rRNA from 1 species